rnacentral:rRNA from 1 species
UCCCCUAGUAACUGCGAGUGAAGCGGGAAAAGCUCAAAUUUAAAAUCUGGUAGUCUCUGGCUGCCCGAGUUGUAAUCUGGAGAAGUGUUUUCUGUGCUGGGCCGUGUACAAGUCUCUUGGAAUAGAGCGUCAUAGAGGGUGAGAAUCCCGUCUUUGACACGGACAUCCAGUGCUCUGUGAUGCACUCUCAAAGAGUCGAGUUGUUUGGGAAUGCAGCUCAAAAUGGGUGGUAAAUUCCAUCUAAAGCUAAAUAUUGGCAAGAGACCGAUAGCGAACAAGUACCGUGAGGGAAAGAUGAAAAGAACUUUGGAAAGAGAGUUAAACAGUACGUGAAAUUGUUGAAAGGGAAACGCUUGAAGUCAGUCGCGUCUAGCAAGGAUCAGCCYUUCUCGGARGGUGUAUUUCUUGCUUGACGGGUCAACAUCAAUUUUGAYUACUGGAAAAAGGCCAGAGGAAGGUGGCACCUUCGGGUGUGUUAUAGCCUUUGGUCAUAUACAGUAGUUGGGAUUGAGGAAUUCAGCAUGCCUUCAUGGCUGGGGUUCGCCCACAUUCAUGCUUAGGAUGUUGGCAUAAUGGCUUUAAGCGACCCGUCUUGAAACACGGACCAAGGAGUCUAACAUACCUGCC